AUUGAACGCUGGCGGCAGGCCUAACACAUGCAAGUCGAGCGGUUGACGGGAGCUUGCUCCCUGAUUCAGCGGCGGACGGGUGAGUAAUGCCUAGGAAUCUGCCUAUUAGUGGGGGACAACGUUUCGAAAGGAACGCUAAUACCGCAUACGUCCUACGGGAGAAAGCAGGGGACCUUCGGGCCUUGCGCUAAUAGAUGAGCCUAGGUCGGAUUAGCUUGUUGGUGGGGUAAUGGCUCACCAAGGCGACGAUCCGUAACUGGUCUGAGAGGAUGAUCAGUCACACUGGAACUGAGACACGGUCCAGACUCCUACAGGAGGCAGCAGUGGGGAAUAUUGGACAAUGGGCGAAAGCCUGAUCCAGCCAUGCCGCGUGUGUGAGGAAGGUCUUCGGAUUGUAAAGCACUUUAAGUUGGGAGGAAGGGUUGUAGAUUAAUACUCUGCAAUUUUGACGUUACCGACAGAAUAAGCACCGGCUAACUCUGUGCCAGCCGCCGCGGUAA
rnacentral:rRNA from 1 species